rnacentral:snoRNA from 1 species
GCCUGAUGACAUCUUGAUGACGAGUCUUAUUCGGGUUUCCGAUGCAGACAACCUUUUUAUUUUUACCAUUCAUGCUUUACUGAAU